GAGCAUUUCAGAGAAAACAAGACUUCAUUGAUGUUGUAGAGGCAAUAUUUAGAGGGGCCAUGAAAGGCAAGCUCAUAGUGACUUGUCCCCUUCCUCCAGAGAGAAUACCAAAGUUUCAAUUGCUGUACAAAGAUGUUUAGCAGAUUGUUGAUUGCUGAAAGCCCUGAACUGCAAGAGAAAACUUCAUAUCUUGAAAGGCAUUGUUUCUGGAUGAUUAUAUUGACCAUUACGAAUC
rnacentral:misc_RNA from 1 species